rnacentral:lncRNA from 1 species
UCUGCUGGCUUUCAUGUGUUUGUUUGCCCACAGCCUCCCCCAUCAGACCGAGGGGCCCUCAAAGGCAGCCCGUGCCUUGUGUAUCUCCAUGGACUGAGCGCCGUGGAGACCAGCGGCUGCCUCCUGGAUCCUCCCCACGGUCCGUGACGAUCGGGCCCGCCUAUCUGUGAAUCCCUGGAGAUUUAGAUGGAAGGAAAAACAAACACAGAGAAAUGAAGUACCCAGCAUGGCCCCUGACGUCAGAGCUGGGGUGGUUUGCAUGGGCGAUGUUCCAGCCUUCUGGUCCCCCGUCCUGACCGUUCGAGGCC